rnacentral:rRNA from 1 species
GAUGAACGCUGGCGGCGUGCCUAAUACAUGCAAGUCGAGCGAACAGACGAGGAGCUUGCUCCUCUGACGUUAGCGGCGGACGGGUGAGUAACACGUGUAUAACCUACCUAUAAGACUGGGAUAACUUCGGGAAACCGGAGCUAAUACCGUAUAAUAUAUUGAACCGCAUGGUUCAAUAGUGAAAGUCGGUGUUGCUGUCACUUAUAGAUGGAUCCGCGCCGCAUUAGCUUGUUGGUCAGGUAACGGGUUACCAAGGCAACGAUGCGUAGACGAACGGAGAGGGUGGUCGGCCACCCUGGAACUGGGACAGGGACCAGACUCCUACGGGAGGCAGCAGUAGGGAAUCUUCCGCAAUGGGCGGAAGCCUGACGGAGCAACGCCGCGUGAGUGAUGAAGGUGCUCGGAUCGUAAAACUCUGUUAUUAGUGAAGAACAAAUGUGUAAGUAACUAUGCACGUCGUGACGGUACCUAAUCAGAAAGCCACGGCUAACUACGUG